CUACUCCUAGUACGAGAGGACCGGAGUGGACGCACCUCUGGUGUACCGGUUGUCACGCCAGUGGCAUCGCCGGGUAGCUAUGUGCGGAAGAGAUAACCGCUGAAAGCAUCUAAGCGGGAAACUUGCCUCAAGAUGAGACUUCCCGGGGGCUCGACCCCCCUGAAGGGUCGUCCUAGACCAGGACGUUGAUAGGCAGGGUGUGCAAGGGCCGUAAGGCCUUCAGCUAACCUGUACUAAUUGCCCGUGCGGCUUGACCCU
rnacentral:rRNA from 1 species